UUAUUCACCUAUCUUUCAUCACCACUUCAUCUCGAUUCCAUAUUCCAUCCUCUCAGCAACCCGAUUUCGAACCCGAAUCAAAACCCUAGUUCAUCACCAUCACAACCAUUCCUCCACCUUCAAUCCAUUCAUCACCACCAACCAUUCCACGAACCCUAACCAUUCCUUCACUUUCAAGCUCCACGAUGAUCCAAUUCAAGUUUACAACAUCCGGCGAUCAAGUUCCUUCGAUCAUGAGCGGCUAAUUCCUAGGAGGUUUCACCCCGGUGUAGGUUAAUUGUAAGUCUAGGGUUAAAACAUUGUUCUUGGAUUGAUUUUGUGACAAAUUGCUUCUUGAUUUGAAACUUAUGAUAAUUGUCUUGCAUUUGUUAGAGUUUACAUGUUCUUGGUAACGAAGUGCAUUGUGGUCCGUUCUUUAUAACGUUGAUAGCUCUUGGCACCUAAUCCGUGUAACACUAAACUCGUUAGUCUUUUUUGCAAUUGAAUCAAUCUUAAAACGUGUAGGAACCCUAGGAAUGCAAUUACCGAACCGGGUGUGAACCUUGUUUUCUCAUUAUUGUCUAAACAAUCAUUUCCAAUUCUUGCAUCUAGUAAUCUUGAGUAGUUAAUUUAAUUAAUCAUUUUAGUAGUUAUAAUUCACAUCUUCCAAUCAAACAAAAACACAAAAACAUAUUUUAGCAAGCUUCAUAAAAGUGACAAUUUCUACAUUUCAUUCAAAGUCCAUUCGCAAACCACAUACUCUUCGUGGUUCGACCCCUCACUACCACUAGCUAUUUGUUAAGGGUAUUUAGGGCUUAUAAAUAUUAUCUUUGACCGGAGCGCGACACUCCGAUCAAAUUUUGGCGCCGCUGCCGGGGAGUGCGUGCGCUUUGUGUUUGGAUAUUGUUUGAAUUAUUGUGAUUAACUGUUUAAUUUGUUUUGUUUUCUUUUUGUAUUGUCUUUUUCCUUGUUACGCGGGGUGUGUUACUUGUGCAGGUUACAGGUAGUGCAU
rnacentral:lncRNA from 1 species